UACGUAGGGUGCGAGCGUUGUCCGGAAUUAUUGGGCGUAAAGAGCUUGUAGGCGGUUUGUCGCGUCUGCUGUGAAAAUCCGGGGCUCAACCCCGGACUUGCAGUGGGUACGGGCAGACUAGAGUGUGGUAGGGGAGACUGGAAUUCCUGGUGUAGCGGUGAAAUGCGCAGAUAUCGGGAGGAACACCAGUGGCGAAGGCGGUUGCCUGGGGCUUUGCUGACGCUGAUGCGCGAAAGCGUGGGGAGCGAUCCGG
rnacentral:rRNA from 1 species